rnacentral:lncRNA from 1 species
CCAUGAAGAGUUCUACACACAAGAAAAAUUGUGGAUGACUCGAAGGGAUAACACAAAACUUGUGGUGUGAGGACAACAAUGUUGGGUUCGUCGCAUGGGAGACCAAAAAAAUUCUAUGCUGACAAAGAUUAAUCUAUGGAGUCUAACAUCUACGAGAGGGGGAGUUCAUCUACAUACCCUUGUAGAUCGCUAAGAGGAAGCGCAUAUAAUGCGGUUGAUGUAGUCGUACGUCUUCACCGUCGAAUCGCAAUCCGUCCCAAUCUAGCGCCAAACGGACGACACCUCCACGUUCAGCACGUAUCCUCCUUCUUGAUCCAAGAAGAGAGGAAAUAGAAAUAGAUUGUAUCUCAACCAGCACGAUGACAUGGUGGGGAUGAUGUUGCAGCAGUGCCAGCAAGGCUUCGCCAAGCUCUGUCGAAAUCAAUCUAAGGAGAAAACCAAGUUAUGAGAGAGGUAGGGCUGCCACCGGGCAUGGCAAUUGGUGUGUUCAGCCCCUCCCUCGCCCCCACUAUAUAUAGGAGGCACGGGGGAGGGUUGGGUCGCAAUUGUAGCCCCUCCUCCAAGGAGGGG